CCUACGGGAGGCAGCAGUGGGGAAUAUUGCACAAUGGGGGAAACUCUGAUGCAGCGACGCCGCGUGAAGGAAGAAGUAUUUCGGUGUUGAAACUUCUAUCAGCAGGGAAGAAAAUGACGGUACCUGACUAAGAAGCCCCGUCUAACUACGUGCAAGCAGCCGCGGUAACACGUAGGGGGCAAGCGUUAUCCGGAGUUACUGGGUGUAAAGGGGGCGUAGGCGGUUUAGUAAGUCAGAAGUGAAAGCCCGGGGCUCAACUCCGAGACUGCUUUUGAAACUGUAGAACUGGAUUGCAGGUGAGGUAAGUGGAAUGUCUAGUGUAGCGGUGAAAUGCGUAGAUAUUAGGCGGAACACCAGUGGCGAAGGCAGCUUACUAGACUGUAAAUGACGUUGAGGCUCGAAAGCGUGGGGAGCAAACAGGAUUAGAUACCCCAGUAGUC
rnacentral:rRNA from 1 species